rnacentral:rRNA from 1 species
GCGGCGAAAGGGACAGUAAUGUGUAGAUCAUCUGCCCUCAGGCCCGGGAUAGCUGCGGGAAACUGCAGGUAAUACCGGAUAAUAUCUCCGGAUCAAAGGUGUGAUUCCGCCUGGGGAUGAGUCUACAUCCUAUUAGCUUGUUGGUGGGGUAAUGGCCUACCAAGGCGAUGAUGGGUAGCGGGUGUGAGAGCACGACCCGCGUCAUUGGGACUGAGACACUGCCCAGACACCUACGGGUGGCUGCAGUCGAGAAUCUUCGGCAAUGGGCGCAAGCCUGACCGAGCGACGCCGCGUGCGGGAUGAAGGCCUUCGGGUUGUAAACCGCUGUCAGAGGGGAUGAAAUGCAGGUGGGUUCUCCCAUCUGUUUGACAUAGCCUCAGAGGAAGGACGGGCUAAGUUCGUGCCAGCAGCCGCGGUAAGACGAACCGUCCAAACGUUAUUCGGAAUUACUGGGCUUAAAGGGUGCGUAGGCGGCGCGGAAAGUUGGGUGUGAAAUCCCUCGGCUCAACCGAGGAACUGCGCUCAAUACUGCCGUGCUCGAGGGAGAUAGAGGUGAGCGGAACUUAGGGUGGAGCGGUGAAAUGCGUUGAUAUCCUAAGGAACACCGGUGGCGAAAGCGGCUCACUGGAUCUCUUCUGACGCUGAGGCACGAAAGCUAGGGUAGCAAACGGGAUUAGAUACCCCGGUAGUCCU